GCCACAUGAUGUCAAAUGCUUGUUAACGGAGUGCGCAGCUGGCAACAGUUGGCGCACGCAUGACCAGUCGACUAAUCUUCUCGCUGAUGGU